rnacentral:misc_RNA from 1 species
UCUUCUUCUUCUUCUUUUUCUUCAAUGGUACCUGCACUUUGUCAUUUGUGUUUUCCUUGCUUUUACAUUUCUCUCUUGUUUUCUCCCUAAGUUCUUCAAAACCCACCUCACAUUUCCUUCCUCUAGAUCUAGUUUCUUUGCUCUCACCUGUUUCUUCGAAGCUAAGAACAAAGAAUUCCUCAUUUUCCAGCUCGAUAAAAGUAGGCAUUUCACAGAAGGAUAAUGUACUCUUAACACGUCUGUGCUGGCCUUGCUUUUGAUCACUUUGAUCACCAAAGUCUGCAGAAUUCAUGGAUUGGCUCCUUGAUAUUGAACAGGCACUCACCUGCAUACUAUCCGGGAAACAUUCCAAACCCAUUAGCCUAGCCACAAUCCCUGGAGCAAUAGGUACGGACUCAGGGGUGUCAUUAGAGUUGAUCAAGUGUUGUUGCUUAAUGUGACAUGGUAUUGAGGUCGCGUCAGUGAUUGGAUAAGAUGGGUGGGUAGGGAGGCUGCGAGAACAGAGAAGUCGACGAAGAAUACCUGCAAGGCAACUUGCGGUGGCACUUUUUGAAGUGCACAUAUUUGCAUGAAAAGAAUUAGUAGUGGAGGAAGAGGAAAUGGAAGGAGAUGGUAGCAGUUUCAUCUUCAAAAUUAUCUAGGAAAAAAAAGAAAAGAAAAAUCAGUAAACAGGUGUGUAAGGG